rnacentral:rRNA from 1 species
UACGUAGGGUGCAAGCGUUGUCCGGAAUUAUUGGGCGUAAAGAGCUCGUAGGCGGUUUGUUGCGUCGGCUGUGAAAUCCCGAGGCUCAACCUCGGGUCUGCAGUCGAUACGAGCAAACUAGAGUGUUGCAGGGGAGACUGGAAUUCCUGGUGUAGCGAUGAAAUGCGCAGAUAUCAGGAGGAACACCGGUGGCGAAGGCGGGUCUCUGGGCAACAACUGACGCUGAGGAGCGAAAGCGUGGGGAGCAAACAGG